rnacentral:rRNA from 1 species
UCCAUAGGUUAAUGAGGCGAACCGGGGGAACUGAAACAUCUAAGUACCCCGAGGAAAAGAAAUCAACCGAGAUUCCCCCAGUAGCGGCGAGCGAACGGGGAGCAGCCCAGAGCCUGAAUCAGUGUGUGUGUUAGUGGAAGCGUCUGGAAAGGCGUGCGAUACAGGGUGACAGCCCCGUACACAAAAAUGCACAUGCUGUGAGCUCGAUGAGUAGGGCGGGACACGUGGUAUCCUGUCUGAAUAUGGGGGGACCAUCCUCCAAGGCUAAAUACUCCUGACUGACCGAUAGUGAACCAGUACCGUGAGGGAAAGGCGAAAAGAACCCCGGCGAGGGGAGUGAAAAAGAACCUGAAACCGUGUACGUACAAGCAGUGGGAGCACAGAGCAAUCUGUGUGACUGCGUACCUUUUGUAUAAUGGGUCAGCGACUUAUAUUCUGUAGCAAGGUUAACCGAAUAGGGGAGCCGAAGGGAAACCGAGUCUUAACUGGGCGUUAAGUUGCAGGGUAUAGACCCGAAACCCGGUGAUCUAGCCAUGGGCAGGUUGAAGGUUGGGUAACACUAACUGGAGGACCGAACCGACUAAUGUUGAAAAAUUAGCGGAUGACUUGUGGCUGGGGGUGAAAGGCCAAUCAAACCGGGAGAUAGCUGGUUCUCCCCGAAAGCUAUUUAGGUAGCGCCUCGUGAAUUCAUCUCCGGGGGUAGAGCACUGUUUCGGCAAGGGGGUCAUCCCGACUUACCAACCCGAUGCAAACUGCGAAUACCGGAGAAUGUUAUCACGGGAGACACACGGCGGGUGCUAACGUCCGUCGUGAAGAGGGAAACAACCCAGACCGCCAGCUAAGGUCCCAAAGUCAUGGUUAAGUGGGAAACGAUGUGGGAAGGCCCAGACAGCCAGGAUGUUGGCUUAGAAGCAGCCAUCAUUUAAAGAAAGCGUAAUAGCUCACUGGUCGAGUCGGCCUGCGCGGAAGAUGUAACGGGGCUAAACCAUG